rnacentral:lncRNA from 1 species
CACAUUGGGAAAUCAUAUGCUAUACCAUAUCUAGAAGGGCAAAAAAUUAAUAAAUAUCUAUAUGAGAUGGAAAUACCAUUAUAACAAUACUGCAUAAUAAAAGGAAAAAAAUAGACUACUACUAUAUGUGUGUGGACAUAUGUAAGUUCUAAUAUUAAACAUAAACUCGAGUGUCCGUGAGGCAUUAUCUCAUAUGAUUGUCUCCACACUCCUAACAGCACUCCCAUCUCAAAUUAACAUAACCCCACUUAGUACAUUUGUUACUUUUCGGAAAAGGUACAAGAGAGGUGAACCUAUAAAAGUUGAGGGAAUAUGUAUCGAACUAAAAUAGUAAACUAGGAUUGGAGGAUGAUCGUUAUCCGCAGAACCUCGCACAUGCAUAGCAUGUGCCAAACUCUAAUGCAUGGAAAUAUGUUCUAACAGCCUCAUUUCCCCAUUCUUGCUGCCAUGCUGGCUUCUCUACCUUCUCCACCCCUAUCUUCCUAUUUCUAAUUUUAAUGGUCUAUUGCCAAUUUU